ACGCUCGACACCUACGGGUGGCAGCAGUGGGGAAUAUUGCACAAUGGGGGGAAACCCUGAUGCAGCGACGCCGCGUGGAGGAAGAAGGUCUUCGGAUUGUAAACUCCUGUUGUUGGGGAAAAAGAGGAUGGUACCCAACAAGGAAGUGACGGCUAACUACGUGCCAGCAGCCGUGGUAAUCUGAGCGGGCUGGCAAGGC
rnacentral:rRNA from 1 species